rnacentral:rRNA from 1 species
GACGAACGCUGGCGGCGUGCUUAACACAUGCAAGUCGAACGGAAAGGCCUCUUUCGGGGGGUACUCGAGUGGCGAACGGGUGAGUAACACGUGAGUAACCUGCCCUUGACUUUGGGAUAACUUCAGGAAACUGGGGCUAAUACCGGAUAGGAGCUCCUGCUGCAUGGUGGGGGUUGGAGAGUUUCGGCGGUUGGGGAUGGACUCGCGGCUUAUCAGCUUGUUGGUGGGGUAGUGGCUUACCAAGGCUUUGACGGGUAGCCGGCCUGAGAGGGUGACCGGCCAAAAUGGGGAUUGGGAAAGGGCCAGAAUUCUAAGGGGAGGAACAAGGGGGGAAAAUGGAAAAAGGGGUGGAGGCCGAAGCAAGAAAGGCCUGGGGGGGGAGAAGGGCCUCCGGUUGUAAACCCGCUUUCGCUAAGAAGGAAGCUUGGGGGAAGGGAGUUGGGAAAGAAGCACCGGCUAACUACGUG